AUCGAACGCUGGCGGAAUGCUUUACACAUGCAAGUCGAACGGCAGCACGGGGGCAGCCCUGGUGGCGAGUGGCGAACGGGUGAGUAAUACAUCGGAACGUGCCCGGUCGUGGGGGAUAACGUAGCGAAAGUUACGCUAAUACCGCAUACGAUCUGAGGAUGAAAGCGGGGGACCUUCGGGCCUCGCGCGAUCGGAGCGGCCGAUGUCAGAUUAGGUAGUUGGUGGGGUAAAGGCCUACCAAGCCGACGAUCUGUAGCUGGUCUGAGAGGACGACCAGCCACACUGGGACUGAGACACGGCCCAGACUCCUACGGGAGGCAGCAGUGGGGAAUUUUGGACAAUGGGCGCAAGCCUGAUCCAGCCAUUCCGCGUGCAGGACGAAGGCCUUCGGGUUGUAAACUGCUUUUGUACGGAACGAAAAGGCUCUGGCUAAUACCUGGGGCUCAUGACGGUACCGUAAGAAUAAGCACCGGCUAACUACG
rnacentral:rRNA from 1 species